AUUGAACGCUCGCGGCCUGCCUAACACAUGCAAGUCGAACGGCCGCACAGUAAAGACUUCGGUCUUUAUGGGUGGCGAGCGGCGGACGGGAGAGUAACGCGUCGGAAUCUGUCCUGGAAGGUGGGAUAACCCGAGGAAACUCGGGCGUAUACCGCUUGAUAUCGAGAGAGCAAAAGCAGGGGACUCUUCGGGCACUUGAGCUCUUGGAUGAACCUACGCCGGAUUAGCUAGUUGGUAGGGUAAAGGCCUACCAAGGCGAAGAUCCGUAGCGGGUCUGAGAGGAUGACCAGCGGCACUGGGACUGAGACACGGCCCAGACUCCUACGGGAGGCAGCAGUGGGGAAGAGUGGACAAUGGGGGCAACCCUGAUCCAGCAAUGCCGAGUGUGUGAAGAAGGCCUGCGGGUUGGAAAGCACUUUAGUUGGGGAGGAAGUAAUACAUUUUAAUAGAGUGUAUUGUUGACGUUACCCAAAGAAUAAGCACCGGCUAACUCUGUGCCAGCAGCCGCCGUAA
rnacentral:rRNA from 1 species